rnacentral:rRNA from 1 species
AACGAACGCUGGCGGCAGGCUUAACACAUGCAAGUCGAACGCCCCGCAAGGGGAGUGGCAGACGAGUGAGUAACGCGUGGGAAUCUACCUAGUUCUACGGAACAACACAGGGAAACUUGUGCUAAUACCGUAUACGCCCUACGGGGGAAAGAUUUAUCGGAAUUAGAUGAGCCCGCGUAAGAUUAGCUAGUUGGUGGGGUAAUGGCCUACCAAGGCGACGAUCUUUAGCUGGUCUGAGAGGAUGAUCAGCCACACUGGGACUGAGACACGGCCCAGACUCCUACGGGAGGCAGCAGUGGGGAAUAUUGGACAAUGGGCGAAAGCCUGAUCCAGCCAUGCCGCGUGAGUGAUGAAGGCCUUAGGGUUGUAAAGCUCUUUCAGUAGGGAAGAUAAUGACGGUACCUACAGAAGAAGCCCCGGCUAACUUCGUGCCAGCAGCCGCCGUAAUAC